rnacentral:rRNA from 1 species
AGCGCAGGUGGGAAAGUAAGUUAAAUGUGAAAUCUACGGGCUCAACUCGUAAAUUGCGUUUGAUACUAUUUUUCUUGAGUGGAGUAGAGGCAGGCGGAAUUCCAGGUGUAGCGGUGGAAUGCGUAGAUAUCUGGAGGAACACCAGUGGCGAAGGCGGCCUGCUGGGCUCUAACUGACACUGAGGCUCGAAAGCGUGGGUAGCAAACA